UCCCAUUGUUGUGUUUGUCCUGCACACUUGUUCUAUGUUCUGGAUGAUAAAGUAUUUUAAAAAAAUGCAGAAAACACCACCAUGGUCAAAGAAAGUUUUACUGAGGAGGUUCAAAAAUAUAACAUCAUUUAUGACACAAAGCAUGUAUUUUACAACAAGGAUUCAGUGAGAAAGUAGAAGGCGUGGUUUUAUCGUAUAAGUGUUGGAUGAGCUAAGAGAGGGGGACGAACUACGUGACACGGGGGUGACAGGACAAACCGCUCCUCUGGGAUCCAGGGGUGAGGGGGGACGGACUGGAGACGCAGUGCUUUCCAUGUAAAAUGUUGUCAGUGUAAAUGAACUGACAGUCGUGAGACAGACUCCUCAGAGACACACCGCAGACAGCCCAGUGGAAAUUCAGGGUUAGUCUAAAUCACGAGUUUUUAUUCUAACAAAAAAACUUGAUAUUUCCUUAAUGUCUGCUUCAAGGCAUUCUGACAACCUCCUCUUAAGUUUAAAUAGGUUUUCUGAGCAUCUAAGUUCCUGCUUUAUCCUCAGAAAUGUGUAUUAAUUCAAAUUUGGACUUUGUGUUAUUUAGGUAAAAGCAGGGAAAUGUGGGUCUGAGCACAGGGCUGUGCUGACCUGCAGACAUUCAGAGAAGCACUACGGACCCGGAUACAACUUGACACUCGCUUGACAAAAGCUGUGAAUCAUCGCAGAGGUGCGCCUGAUCUUGAUGUCAGGAUGAGGAAUAUGCUGGAAAACACUGGAGGCCAGAAUGUGCGCUUGGGAACAGGGAAUCCACAGCCACGAGUGGUCGCCUGAACCUGCAUUUAUUCUGGAACCCUGCUCUGUCUGCUUCACCCGGUCAAACCACGAGCCUCUGCCGAUCCCCCUCUCCACCACGAGCCUCAGCUGAACCUGCUGUUUGUCGGAAUCCACGAACGAAGGCACCAGUGACGCCACGAGUCUACAGGAACCGUUCACCCUCGUCGUGGGACCCCUCGGAGUCUGCUGUCCCUCAUACUCACCUUAUUCUGGAUCUGAACAUUAAAUCCAUUUUUCUAAUCAC